rnacentral:rRNA from 1 species
GACGAACGCUGGCGGCGUGCUUAACACAUGCAAGUCGAACGGAAAGGCCCUGCUUUUGUGGGGUGCUCGAGUGGCGAACGGGUGAGUAACACGUGAGUAACCUGCCCUUGACUUUGGGAUAACUUCAGGAAACUGGGGCUAAUACCGGAUAGGAGCUCCUGCUGCAUGGUGGGGGUUGGAAAGUUUCGGCGGUUGGGGAUGGACUCGCGGCUUAUCAGCUUGUUGGUGGGGUAGUGGCUUACCAGGGCUUUGACGGGUAGCCGGCCUGAGAGGGUGACCGGCAACAUUGGGACUGAGAUACGGCCCAGACUCCUACGGGAGGCAGCAGUGGGGAAUAUUGCACAAUGGGCGGAAGCCUGAUGCAGCAACGCCGCGUGCGGGAUGACGGCCUUCGGGUUGUAAACCGCUUUCGCCUGUGACGAAGCGUGAGUGACGGUAAUGGGUAAAGAAGCACCGGCUAACUACGUG